rnacentral:misc_RNA from 1 species
UCUCCGUUGGUGAACCAGCGGAGGGAUCAUUAUCGAGUUUAUAACUCCCAAACCCUAUGUGAACUUACCACUUGUUGCUUCGGCGCGCGCUUCGGCGCCGCCGAGGACACUUAAACUCUUUGUUUUUAUAAGCAUUUCUGAGUGGCCGGAAGGCAAAAUACAAAUGAAUCAAAACUUUCAACAACGGAUCUCUUGGUUCUG